GCUUCAGUAGCUCAGUUGGUUAGAGCACCUGACUGUUAAUCAGGGGGUCGUUGGUUCAAGCCCAUCCUGAAGCGC
rnacentral:tRNA from 4 species